rnacentral:rRNA from 1 species
UACGUAGGUGGCAAGCGUUGUCCGGAUUUACUGGGCGUAAAGAGCGCGCAGGCGGUCGUUCAAGUCGCGUGUGAAAGCCCCCGGCUCAACUGGGGAGGGUCACGCGAUACUGAUCGACUGGAAGGCAGGAGAGGGUAGUGGAAUUCCCGGUGUAGUGGUGAAAUGCGUAGAUAUCGGGAGGAACACCAGUGGCGAAGGCGGGUCUCUGGGCCGAUACUGACGCUGAGGAGCGAAAGCGUGGGGAGCGAACAGG